UACGUAGGGGGCUAGCGUUGUCCGGAAUCAUUGGGCGUAAAGCGCGUGUAGGCGGUCCGGUAAGUCCGCUGUGAAAGUCGGGGGCUCAACCCUCGGAUGCCGGUGGAUACUGUCGGGCUUGAGUACGGAAGAGGAGAGUGGAAUUCCCGGUGUAGCGGUGAAAUGCGCAGAUAUCGGGAAGAACACCCGUGGCGAAGGCGGCUCUCUGGGACGGUACUGACGCUGAGACGCGAAAGCGUGGGGAGCGAACAGG
rnacentral:rRNA from 1 species